rnacentral:rRNA from 1 species
GGAAGUCUGGUGCCAGCAGCCGCGGCAAUUCCAGCUCCAAUAGCGUAUAUUAAAGUUGUCGCAGUUAAAAAGCUCGUAGUUGAACCUCGGGAUCAAUGGAUCGGUCAUGCCAUCGGUAUGUACUGGUCUCAUUGGUUCUCACCUUCUAAGGAACCAUGAUGUCAUUCAGUUGAUGUUGUGGGGAAUUAGGACUGUUACCUUGAAAAAAUUAGAGUGUUUAAAGCAGGCUAACGCUUGAAUACAUUAGCAUGGAAUAAUGAAAUAGGACAUCGCAUUCUAUUUUGUUGGUUUCUAGGAUCGAUGUAAUGAUUAAUAGGGAUAGUUGGGGGCAUUAGUAUUCAAUUGUCAGAGGUGAAAUUCUUGGAUUUAUUGAAGACUAACUACUGCGAAAGCAUUUGCCAGGGAUGUUUUCAUUAAUCAAGAACGAAAGUUAGGGGAUCGAAGACGAUCAGAUACCGUCGUAGCCUUAACCAUAAACUAUGCCGACUAGGGAUCGGAUGAUGUUGAUUUUUUAAUGACUCAUUCGGCGCCUUACGGGAAAC